rnacentral:rRNA from 1 species
AGCCUGAACCAGCCAAGUCGCGUGAGGGAUGAAGGUUCUAUGGAUCGUAAACCUCUUUUAUAAGGGAAUAAAGUGCGGGACGUGUCCCGUUUUGUAUGUACCUUAUGAAUAAGGAUCGGCUAACUCCGUGCCAGCAGCCGCGGUAAUACGGAGGAUCCGAGCGUUAUCCGGAUUUAUUGGGUUUAAAGGGUGCGUAGGCGGCCUUUUAAGUCAGCGGUGAAAGUCUGUGGCUCAACCAUAGAAUUGCCGUUGAAACUGGGAGGCUUGAGUAUGUUUGAGGCAGGCGGAAUGCGUGGUGUAGCGGUGAAAUGCUUAGAUAUCACGCAGAACCCCGAUUGCGAAGGCAGCCUGCCAAGCCAUGACUGACGCUGAUGCACGAAAGCGUGGGGAUCAAACAGGAUUAGAUACCCUGGUAGUCCACGCAGUAAACGAUGAUCACUAGCUGUUUGCGAUACACAGUAAGCGGCACAGCGAAAGCGUUAAGUGAUCCACCUGGGGAGUACGCCGGCAACGGUGAAACUCAAAGGAAUUGACGGGGGCCCGCACAAGCGGAGGAACAUGUGGUUUAAUUCGAUGAUACGCGAGGAACCUUACCCGGGUUUGAACGCAUUCGGACCGAGGUGGAAACACCUUUUCUAGCAAUAGCCGUUUGCGAGGUGCUGCAUGGUUGUCGUCAGCUCGUGCCGUGAGGUGUCGGCUUAAGUGCCAUAACGAGCGCAACCCUUGCCACUAGUUACUAACAGGUGAUGCUGAGGACUCUGGUGGGACUGCCAGCGUAAGCUGCGAGGAAGGCGGGGAUGACGUCAAAUCAGCACGGCCCUUACAUCCGGGGCGACACACGUGUUACAAUGGCGUGGACAAAGGGAAGCCACCUGGCGACAGGGAGCGAAUCCCCAAACCACGUCUCAGUUCGGAUCGGAGUCUGCAACCCGACUCCGUGAAGCUGGAUUCGCUAGUAAUCGCGCAUCAGCCA